AUGUACCCCCGUACACUCCGGUCCCUCCGCGCCGGCCGCACCCACCUGACAACAACUGCUCGCUACGUUUUAUUAGCU
rnacentral:sRNA from 1 species